UGCAUGAUGACGAAACAAUUUCUUCACUUUGACCUGACGUUUUUGUUUGAAGAAAUUUUGCAAUAUCUGACA
rnacentral:snoRNA from 1 species